rnacentral:rRNA from 2 species
UACAGAGGGUGCAAGCGUUAAUCGGAAUUACUGGGCGUAAAGCGCUCGUAGGCGGGUGCCUAAGUCGAUUGUGAAAGCCCUGGGCUUAACCUGGGAACUGCAGUCGAUACUGGGUAUCUAGAGUAUGGUAGAGGAUAGUGGAAUUCCCGGUGUAGCAGUGAAAUGCGUAGAUAUCGGGAGGAACACCAGUGGCGAAGGCGACUUUCUGGACCAAUACUGACGCUGAGGAGCGAAAGCGUGGGGAGCAAACAGG